GUACAGGUUUGGCAUGUCACAUGUGGGAGGGAUGUGGAAAAGGAAUGUUCGUCUCUACAUACAUCUCAAAUCUCCGGAUACAUUUUGAGAAGACUGAGGAGAGCAUCAUGUUUAAAAUGGAGAGAACAGACACGGGGGGGUUGUUCUCAAAUCAUGUUAAAUGCAGGUUGUGUAGUCACAGAGGAAGGCUGUGCUUCUCUGGCCUCAGCUCUGAAGCCAAACCCCUCACACCUGAGAAAGCUGGACCUGAAAUAUAAUCACCCAGGAGACACAGGUGUCCGACUGCUCUCCACUUUAGAGGAUCCACACUGGAGAUAUAGAGGUGUGGAAUAUGAUGGAGAACACAGCCGCUGGAUGGGGGGAGGGGUAGAAUUGUGUUUUUGUCUGUGCUACAGACAGCUAAUACAGGACUAGUAAAGCCCAGUGCACUACUUUUGUGGGGGGGAAAACUUGUUUUUUCCCGGUUUUUCAGGGGGUGCUGCAGCACCCUCAGCACCCCUACUUCUCACGGCUAUGGUGGAGAUUGCAUGGUCAAACCUGGGUUUAAAAAAAUGUGAGUGUUGAUUGCUUUGAAGAGUAAGUCUGUUGUUAUUAACUCUUGAUUCAAAGUCAGAGACCACAUUCAUGACUUACUUGGUCACAUUGUGUGUGUGUGUGUGUGUGUGUGUGUGUGUGUGUGUGUGUGUGUGUGUGUGUGUGUGUGUGUGUGUGUGUGUGUGUGUGUGUGUGUGUGUGUGUGUGUGUGUGUG